rnacentral:ncRNA from 2 species
UUACUGUCACGGGGCCUUGGUGUUCGGGAAACCGGUGCGGUACCGGUGCGGCCCUCGCCACUGUGAUCGGGAAGUCCGGCUCCACCCCCUCACGGGGAGCCACUGGGACACCGCGCGACGCGCGGUGCCCGGGAAGGCGGAGUCCGGGCGGCAUGACCCGUCAGCCAGGAGACCGGCCAGGGUGCGUUGUCCAUC